rnacentral:misc_RNA from 1 species
GAUGAAGAACGUAGUGAAAUGCGAUAAGUAAUGUGAAUUGCAGAAUUCAGUGAAUCAUCGAAUCUUUGAACGCACAUUGCGCCCCCUGGUAUUCCGGGGGGCAUGCCUGUCCGAGCGUCAUUACAACCCUCAAGCUCAGCUUGGUGUUGGGCCCCGCCGCCCCGGCGGGCCCUAAAGUCAGUGGCGGUGCCGUCCGGCUCCGAGCGUAGUAAUUCUUCUCGCUCUGGAGGUCCGGUCGUGUGCUCGCCAGCAACCCCCAAUUUUUUUCAGGUUGACCUCGGAUCAGGUAGGGAUACCCACUGAACUUAAGCAUAUCAAUAAGCGGAGGA